rnacentral:lncRNA from 1 species
GUUAAAGUAUAGCAACUUUAUUCCUUUACUUUCUCCAGUUUAUAAUUAUCUUAAGUAUUUUGUUUACAUACAUUGAGAAAACUAUCAAACAAUGUUUUACUUUUUGCUUUAACCAUCAAACAUAAUUUUAAAAAAAUCAAUAGAAGAGGACAGCCUAUUGUGUUUAUCCAUAUUUUUUGUUCUUUCUUUGUUCUUUCUCAUUCCUGAUGCUCAAAGAUUCCUUCUAUCACUUAUUUCUGUUUGGAGAACUUCCUUCAGCCAUUCUUUAAAUGUUAGUUUGCUAUCACAAGGACAGAAAACCAAACACCCCAUGUUCUCACUCAUAGGUGGGUAUUGAACAAUGAGAACACUUCGACACAGGGCGGGGAACAUCACACCCCGUGAGCCACCGCGCCUGGCCUAUUCUCUUGGCCUGUCAGAGGAUGGAGGGCUGGGGGAGCAAUAGCAUUAGGAGAAAUACCUAAUGUAAAUGACAGGUUGAUGGGUGCAGCAAACCAACAUGGCACAUGUAUACAUAUGUAACAAAUCUGCACGUUGUGCACGUGUACCCUAGAACUUAAAGUAUAAUUUUAAAAAAUGUUAGUUUGCAAGUGAUAAAUUCUGUUAGUGUUCCUGCAUCUAAGGAUGUCUUGAUUUUCCCUUCAUUAAGAAGGAUAUUUUUGUUGGUUGUGGAAUUCUGUGCUGGCAGUUCUUUUCUUUCAGUACUUAAAAAAUACCAUGUCAUUUCCUUGUAACCUCCACAGAUUUUGAUGAGAAAUCUACAGUCACUGGGUUUUGGCCUGGAUUUCUUUGGGUUUAACGUAUUUGGGAUUUACUCAGCUUUUUGAACCUGUAGGUUUGUCUUUUGCCAAAUUUGAGUAAAUUUCAGCCACUGUUUGUUUGAAUACAUCUUCAGCCUCACCUUUUAUUCCCUCUCCUUCUGUGACUUUGAUGACAUAAAUGCUUUGUUAUAGUCCCACGGAUCCCUGAGGCUCUGUUCAUACAUAUUUUUCAGUCUACUUUCUCUUUGUUGUUUGUCCUUGGUAAUUUCUAUUUUUGUAUCUUCGAGCUUACUGCUUCUUUUCUCUAUCUCCUCCAUUUUGCUAUUGGGCCCAUCCAUUGAAGUUUUAAAAUUUUGGUUGUUUUCUCAUUCUAAAAUUUCCAUUUGGUUCUUCUUUAUAUCUCCUAUUUUCUUUGUUGAGAUUUUUUGCCCUUCGUUCAUGUAAUGUGAUGCCUCUGGCUUUAUCCUUUUUGUGUAGGAUUGCUUUGGCUAUUCGGGCUCUUUUUUGGUUCCAUGUGAACUUUAGAAAUUUUUUUCUAAUUAUGUGAAAUAUGACAUUGCUAAUUUGACAGGAAUAGUACUCAAUCUGUAGAUUCCUUUGGGCAAUAUGGAAAUUUUAAAGAUAUUGAUUCUUCCAGUCCUGAGUAUUAUAU